ACCAGAACCAUUCUCUUCGAUUGGAUAACAUCCAUCCCCAAAAUCUUCUCGAUCUCCACCGCCUCGCUUAUGCCGAUCUGCUCCGUCCUCCAGCUGACGACGCCGUGGAACGCCAAGUACCCCGUGUCCCCCCACCGCCGCUGGCGCCGCUGCAAUCGACUUCCCACCAUCGCUCGGAGCUUGAGGGAGAGGUUAUGAUGCCAAUUUCUUCGUCUCCACCACCGCACACGCAGCUGCUUGCAGAUGGCGUCCUCGGCGACCAAUGGAGGAUUGGGGGAGGACGUGAAGGACUGGAGGAGCACCCUGCCUCUCCUCCUCCUAUUCGGUGACCGGCGACGCGUCCAGGAGCUCCAUGAGAAACUCGGCGGUGUCUCCGAGACCACCCACGAUUCCUUGAUAGUUGCCCUGCCUCCCCUCCACUUUGGCUGACCCGGGCCACAAGCUCUAGGGCCAAGGCAUCUGCCACACGCUGCGUGUAUUCCCUCUAGGGGUCGCGGCCGGCCGCCGGCGAGGCUGUCGUGGGUCAGUCGAGGUCACCGCUACAGGGUGUCAUCGUCGUUCCCACCCUGGGGCUUCCUGCUAUUGUUGUCCGGGCUGGUUCUGGAGGGCACCAUGGUGAGUCACGCACCGCCACAUCGGACUUCCUGCUCCUCAGCCCAGUGCUGGUCCCAGGCACACCCACCAUCGAGAUUGUGGUUUACUCGCGAGCUUAGCCGUUCUGAAAUUCCGAACCUCCGUUGUGCUCGGCUGCUAACGGGGACCUCUGUCAAAGUUACCUCCAAGUAUCCCGCCUCCUACAUAAUGUACGUGCAGCUUUGCUAUGCCGACAACAGUCGGUAGCAUGGCCGGUUCAUGAGUCGCACUGUCAUCUUCCUCUAGUGUGGUACUGCCUAUAGGAUGGCCUGCGGGAUCUGCUGCCCUAUCUCUAACGGUCUCCUUUUUGGUCUAGGAAGGAAAGGACUAACUAUGAUGCUAUGUUCUUGUGCAGGUUGAUUUCAACAAAUUACCAUUCAGAUAGAAUUCUCAAUUGUAGCCUCAUCAGGAUUGACAUAAGAGUGACAGCAUGCAGUUCCAUCGCCGGGUGAGUUGUUCUACCUUUUCUUUAGGUUGGAUGAGGUUUAGUUACUAUUUGGUUGCCGCAAUAUCUCAUUUUGUAUCUUUUGAUGCUAAAGCUUGCGAUAAUUAUCUAUUACCAGGAUUGGUUCUACCUUCAGCCUUUCUUAAUAAAUAGUUAAUGAAGCUUCAUUUUGAGCGUCCAAUGGUCAACCAAAGUGAACUAGCUAGAUAAAUUUCAAAGCAUUUUAGUUGACUACAUUUGCUUUGAAAUUUCAAGGCUAGGAAAUUCUCUCGACAUGUCUUUAAGUUGACUACAUUUGCUUCGAAGUUAAAUGGCUAGCAAAUGUGCUCCCUACAUGAUCAUUGUAUCUUUUUUUUUUUUGCCUUUCUAGCUGCACUGUGGAUUUGUAUCCCUAAGUACAGUUGUUACGGAACAUGUAAGCUCCUGAAUUGUAUUGAGACGCUGUUAGGUUUGGUCAUUCCCCGGCUUGCUUCUGUGGUGUGGCCUCUCACUUAAUAAUUCACAUGAAAACACUUCUUUUUCCUAGGAUCCAUUGCCCUGAAUAACUAAAUAAGUUAAGCAGCUAGAUACUGAAAAAGAUGAUAUAUUUUUUCAAUGCACAUUUUCUAGUGCUUUAAUGGAUUCCUGUUAGAUCGGUACGUUUUUGGUAUAUAGCAGAUUGGUUGUAUUAAUACUCUCCCUGGGAAGUGAAGCUUACAAAAUAUACAUAAUUCUUCCCCAUGUUAACUUGAUGUUCAGUACAUUACUAUCAUAUUAGGCUCCUGAAAUUUUCCACUUCCUGUAGUCAUUGCUAUUGUUAUUUCGCCUGAAAUUGACAUUUCUAUCAAAAGUUCUGCGUCAGUCCUUAGAAAAUGUGUCAUAGUUUACUUGAUAGUGGGGCAACUCAAUACACCGUUUAACUAAAAAAACCAUUAGCACAUGCUAUGGGAGUGUAUUUUACAUUAGCGACCAAUUUACUGUAUUUGAAUAUACAAAUUGACUGCUAAGCAGUCAUUGUUCUAGCAAAUUAGUGGUUCUUUUCUGUAUUUUGUUUAUAUUAUUCCUAUUUUGGCAUCUCAUUUCAAUGCUUAGUGCGUAGAACUAUACUUUUGAUCACAUUUUUACUUGAUGGUUUGGAUUUACAAUGAGAUCAAAAUAUAUAUGUUAAACAUAUUAUCUCGGGUUUUCUUUUACUUUGCUGCCUGAUGGUACACAUGAAGGUCCGUUGUCUUUGUGUUCCUGUCCUUGCCUUUCUUAGUUUGCUUCUUCAUUAUUUUGUACUCAAAUCCAGCUUAACAAUGGCACCUAGGCCAACUACUUGUGCAGAUCAAGGAGCAGAGUAAGUCACCUGGACUUAUGUUAAGGCAGAGCAGUACCAACUUGAUGUGAUAUUAAAGUUGUUGUGCCUCUACAGCAAGCACUUUUACAAGUUCUGGCAUCAUAAGCUUUCUGCAACCGUUGUUUCUGUGCAGCUAUCGCCAAGCUAAUCUGUAUACACCUAUUUAUGUUUAUUGUGUUAAAUAUUUACUGCAAAUGUCCAGUCGCACAACAGCAUAUUGGACUUUAUUCUGAAAGAAGACAUAAGAAUCAGUUGACAUAACAAUGACUGAAAUACGAGAAAUGGCAAUCCUGUUGUCACCAGUGGUAUGUAUUGCUACCACAUGAACAAGAUAGUGAUGUUGUUGAUGUCCUGUCAAAUAUGUAGAGAUUUUAAAAACACACCAAGACAUCAAUCACAUUUCACCGUAUAGCUGAAAGAAAAGAAUUAAGGCAGAAUUUUAGAUAAUACAUGAAAUAUCACAGUUUUCAGUUAUAAUAGCACAUUGACACCAGAAAUCAAAAUUCCUCUGGAGAAAAUAAAAUAUUUUCAAAGAAAGCUUCGCGUGGAGGUGCUGUGUAACACGGUCAUCUAAUGAGCUUAUUUCUUAUGAUCAUGUUGUGUCAGUGUUUAAUGUAUUUGUUUGCAGUGAUAUGAACAGCGUUGUUUCUUCCUCCCGUGUUCUUAUGUUGAGGUAUUAUGUUCAUUGACAGUCUGUUGUUACCAUUGGUUCAUCUUAGAUUGGUUUUCGGUUAUUAACUUUUGCUUCUUUAUCUAUCCAUUGCUUGCCAGAUCGUCUGCUCCUGUGCCUAUUCAUGUGCAUUUGGUGCAUGUUUUAUUAUGGGCUUAAUCUCUGUUGUUUUCCUUUUGUGGCAUCCUCUUCAUUUCUACAAUCAAGAGUACUCCUGUCUUGCCAGUUGCGAGAGCUGCUCUGUGAAGCCAAAGCUCAUUCAAAAGCAGUGUGCUGCUCUCCAUCUCUUAGAUAUCUCUCUAUGUGUGGUGAAUUGCUCUAUUCUUUGCCAAAUUCUUAGGUCUACUUGCAGGAGGACGGUUCGCUGAUUGUCGAGUGUCUUUGUUCUGGAAUUGAUGAAUUCGCUGAAACUGCAUCGUUAUCGUUUGUUCAUCCAUGCCUUUGCUUUUUUGGAUUACGGAUAUUUUCCAGCCUUCUUCGUUUCAGCUGAGACAUCUUUUUAUGGUAGUUUUGUUACAUCUAGCUGAUGGUCGUAUAGUAUUUUUGGUUGCUUCAUCGGAUGUUGCAUCUUUGUUGAUCCCCAGUGGGCUUAGAACCGACUCAAUGUUAACAAUAAAUGUGGAAAUUGAAGAUUGGACACUUGACCUGCAAUUACAGAAAUAUAACUAUGCAUGACAACCUGAGGUGGCUGUCUACCAAAAUCUCUGUUUUCUCAUGGCAGUUGUAUGUUGCUAUGUCAAGAGUAACAUCUAGGGAAGGUUUAAAGAUACUUUCUCCGUCCCUAAGAAGUUGCUCAAGUUUGUCUAGAUACAGAGGUAUAUACAUAUUUUAGUUAUAGAUACAUCACAACUUUUUUAAGAUGAAGGAAGUACUUGAAACUGAUGAAAAUGGUUUAUUCACUAUUCCAGAGUAGGAAUGAACAGUAGGUUGAUAACCUAUAGCAGCACUGCUCAUCUACAACUGAUUGGAUCAUUACAGGGCUAUUUCUGAACACAUGACUAUAACUUCAGAUAUAUUACCAUUCUACAUUUGUUUGUUGUAGGUGCUUCUUCGGUAUAUAAAUUGUGUUGGUUUUCUCUCCGUGCAGUAUUUAAUCUGAGACGAAUAGGACUGAUGUUCUGCAUCCAUGUUCUACAAUGUAAUGAAUGGAAACAGUUUCACCAAUUUUGUCUAUUGGGUUUCUGUUGUGGUCAUGUGUGCACUUCAUGUAUCAUGGGGUACGUUUACUCCAUCUGUUUGUAGCCUUCUGAGGUAUGGUCAUGGGUAUUUCAUCGGCUAUAUUUGCUCCUUCAGGUUUUAGCCUUCUUAGAUGAGAACUAUUGUACUAAUCUGUACAACUACGUUUUUGGCUUGGCGCGGCAUUCUUCCAUUGGACAUGCGUUCGUUUGCGCUUGCCUGUCGGUAGUGGGGAGCGUGGAGUUCAUCUGCGGGUGAGUCGUGGGUACAUGCAGCUGUUUUUUUCUUUUGUCUGUGUGUCGUUGCAAUGUGCUGUGCUGUGCACGGUCGUUUAUGUUUUUAGCGGGGUACGUUCGAUCCGGUCUUUGUUUUUGGCUUAUUGCUGCUGCGGUGGUGCUCUUUGGGUCUCUCUGGUAUUCCUCUUCAUUGCUGGCCGUGCUGCGGUAGUGGGUGUGGUGCUUGGGGUCUGCCGCUGUGGCCGCCUUCCUUCUUUGACCGGUUUCUUCCUCGCCCUGGUUUGUCCCCUUUACUGUUUGUUCUGCAUUUUGUUCAGUCGAGUUGUGGUUGUCGAUCCUGUGUCCCGGUUUGCCGUUGUGGCGUGUCUACUUUGGAUCUAUGGUGGGCGUGGUUCUGGCUGCCGCAUGGGCUUUAGUCGUGAGAGAUUAUUGCAAACUUUUGUGGAAUCAUUGAUUUGGGGGUGUUUGGGAUUUUAUUUUUAGAUUUAUUCAACCGCUGGCUCGGUGUGUGUUUUAGGAUAAGAUGCGGGGACAAGAUGCUGGUGCUUCAUUGCUGCGCUUGAGUGUGGAGGCCGUGAUUCGGUUUGCGUCGGUUGUAGUUUGGGUGCCUCAUUGUGGAGUUAGGUGAUUGAUGUGUUUGGUGUUUCAGUUUUCCUGUGUGUGGUUUAACUGCAGAAUUAGUGUUUAGGUUUUUGCCCUUGGUCAGUCUAGGCUGGAGGGCAUAGGAACGGGAGAUUGAUGAAUCUGUAAGACGUGGUUCCUUUUAUAUAUGUUUUCAUCUUUUAUGUUUUGUAGGUUAGUCUGAACCCGCUGAACCCUGGCGAUGACUAAGAACCAGAGAUCCACGAUGACCACACUGAAGUUGAGUACCCAGGAGAGAAAAUGGAUGAAGGGUCCAUGCCGACAAAUCCAUGAAUGGCCAUCUAGAUCUGGAUUCUACCUCGCCCCACUCUACAACAAGCCUUGCGGUGCCCCUUCUCGCGUAAAACACUACUGAUCAGUUGCUCCCAACAUAGAAGAAGCGACUAGCAUUAGCGCUGCAUCGUAAUAAGGAGCUCGGAGUCGACCGCCUCAUCCAUGAGACACCUGCUAAACAAAGGUUACAUUGUAUCGCUGCUACGAAUGCCUGGACGCUGCAGCAACAUGUCCAGUUUAUAGUACCCUUCUAUACAUGCUCUCUGCAUUUUGCAUAUGUAAUUAGAAAAUGAGAAAACCCUCCACACAUGUUCAAGCAGCCAGCAGCUCCGUAAUGUAUGCAUAUGUAAUGAAAUCAAUCUCCUAGAUGUUGAUGUGUUGCUUAUUCAAGUUCAUAGAGGAAAAAUUCCACAA